rnacentral:rRNA from 1 species
AUAUUAAAGUUGUUGCAGUUAAAAAGCUCGUAGUUGAAUUUCGGGAUCAAGUCGUCGGUCGUGCUCAGGUACGUACUGGCGUCAUUGAUUUCUCCCUUCUGACGAACCAUGAUGUCAUUAAUUUGGUGUUAUGGGAAAUCAGGACUGUUACUUUGAAAAAAUUAGAGUGUUUAAAGCAGGCUCACGCUUGAAUACAUUAGCAUGGAAUAAUGAAAUAGGACGUUCGAUCCUAUUUUGUUGGUUUUAGGAUCAACGUAAUGAUUAAUAGGGAUAGUUGGGGGCAUUAGUAUUCAAUUGUCAGAGGUGAAAUUCUUGGAUUUAUUGAAGACUAACUACUGCGAAAGCAUUUGCCAAGGAUGUUUUCAUUAAUCAAGAACGAAAGUUAGGGGAUCGAAGACGAUCAGAUACCGUCGUAGUCUUAACCAUACACUAUGCCGACUAGGGAUCGGAUGAUGUUAAUUUUUUAAUGACUCAUUCGGCG